UGGGGAAUAUUGGACAAUGGGCGCAAGCCUGAUCCAGCCAUGCCGCGUGCAGGAUGACGGUCCUAUGGAUUGUAAACUGCUUUUUAUACGAGAAGAAACACUCCAACGUGUUGGAGCUUGACGGUAUCGUAAGAAUAAGGAUCGGCUAACUCCGUGCCAGCAGCCGCGGUAAUACGGAGGAUCCAAGCGUUAUCCGGAAUCAUUGGGUUUAAAGGGUCCGUAGGCGGUUUAGUAAGUCAGUGGUGAAAGCCCAUCGCUCAACGGUGGAACGGCCAUUGAUACUGCUAAACUUGAAUUAUUAGGAAGUAACUAGAAUAUGUAGUGUAGCGGUGAAAUGCUUAGAGAUUACAUGGAAUACCAAUUGCGAAGGCAGGUUACUACUAAUGGAUUGACGCUGAUGGACGAAAGCGUGGGUAGCGAACAGGAUUAGAUACCCCCGUAGUCCCUGAGCGGGCUGGCAAGGCGCAU
rnacentral:rRNA from 1 species